rnacentral:rRNA from 1 species
GACGUAGGGCGCGAGCGUUGUCCGGAUUUAUUGGGCGUAAAGGGCUCGUAGGCGGUCUGUUGCGUCGGGAGUGAAAACUUACAGCUUAACUGUGAGCGUGCUUCCGAUACGGGCAGACUUGAGGUAUUCAGGGGAGAACGGAAUUCCUGGUGUAGCGGUGAAAUGCGCAGAUAUCAGGAGGAACACCGGUGGCGAAGGCGGGACUCUGGGCCGAUACUGACGCUGAGGAGCGAAAGCGUGGGGAGCGAACAGG